CCUACGGGUGACAGCAGUAGGGAAUCUUCCACAAUGGACGAAAGUCUGAUGGAGCAACGCCGCGUGAGUGAAGAAGGGUUUCGGCUCGUAAAGCUCUGUUGGUCGUGAAGAAAGAUAGAGGUAGUAACUGGCCUUUAUUUGACGGUAAUUACUUAGAAAGUCACGGCUAACUACGUGCCAGCAGCCGCGGUAAUACGUAGGUGGCAAGCGUUGUCCGGAUUUUUUGGGCGUAAAGGGAGUGCAGGCGGUUCAAUAAGUCUGAUGUGAAAGCCUUCGGCUCAACCGGAGAAUUGCAUCAGAAACUGUUUAACUAGAGUGCAGAAGAGGAGAGUGGAACUCCAUGUGUAGCGGUGGAAUGCGUAGAUAUAUGGAAGAACACCAGUGGCGAAGGCGGCUCUCUGGUCUGCAACUGACGCUGAGGCUCGAAAGCAUGGGUAGCGAACAGGAUUAGAUACCCUUGUAGUC
rnacentral:rRNA from 1 species